rnacentral:lncRNA from 1 species
UUGGGGGAAGGAGGAAGAAGUGUGCCAUGGAUCCCCCCAUGAGGAAUUUGCCCAGGUCCACAGCCUCCCUGUCCAUCUGGCGAUGGAGAAGGCCCAGACCCCA